rnacentral:lncRNA from 1 species
AACAAGUUUAGGUCCUCAGGAGCAGGGUGGUAUGGAUUGCAGUGAAACGCAAAAUGACAAAGACCAAUUCAAAACGUUGAGCGUGUUGGGAGGAGUCUCCAUGUUCUUCAGGACAAGCUGGACAUUUCUGAAGUCCGGCCAGAUGGAUGAAAGCAAUGGGGCUUGGACUAAGUUUCAUGGGAGGCUGCCUUUUUUGGGUUGUAUAAACCACUCUUGGUGUUUAACUGGAAACUGAACACCAAGAGAAAGCUCAACAGGUUUCUGAAAAGUGUUAACCUGGAAUUCCAGGAAAGCUGGUCAAUAUUCCUUCUGACUCAGACAUUUGUACAAGCUUAGAGAACUGCAUCUGAUCAAGGAAGAAGGAGGAUUCUCCACAGUUUUUACUACUGAGUAAAGACCCCUAUGAACUCAGAGAUAUGCUAAUGUGGUUAUUUUGGUGAGAAUCCAGCAUCUUAACUAUGACCACAGCUACCUUAGAGGAGUGAUUCUUUUUUCUGGGGUGAUUCAUAAUCAUAUGGAGUCCUUGAAGAUACAGAUUCUGGAGUUUUAAAAGCCAAGUCUCACAAAAGAUUCUGAUAUACAGUCAGAGGGCAGCACUCUGCCCCAGUCAAGGCACAAGUCCAGGAACGGAGGGCUUUAAAAAUGUAUGCAAAACCCAGUGCCUAGAUCUCAGUUUCUAAUGUUAUUCUUUAACAAAAGAAACCAAGGCUCCCUGGACACAUGUCUGUUCCUAGGAUUAGGGCAGGAAAUAAGUAAGACGAUCCUGGUGCAUCUGGUAGUGCUGGAAAGUAAGGAAAUGCUGAAAACCAAACCAAACCAAACCAAAAACAACUCCCCCCAGCAAAAAUCCCAUAAUGGGUGGGGUAUGUCAAGGGAACAAAGGAGCCUACUGAGAGCUUGAAUGGCCAAAGCUGGGACAGUCUGAACAAUAAAAUAUAGUACUGGGCUGUAACCCAAAGUACAAAUGAACUAUGCACAAGUCCAUACUGAUAUAAAUAAACAACUAAAAAAAAUAAGUGAGGAAGAGACAGAUCUCCCAUGUGGAAGGAUUCUAAAUAACUGUAUCCAUACUUGGCUCCCAAGAGGGUGGAACAUAGCUCCCCACUCCUUAAGUGUGGGCUACACAUAGUGACUUCCUUCCAAAAGGAACAGCAUGGAAAGAGGGGGAGGAAGAGGAAUUUCAUGGUGGAGCAACCUGACACAAACACUACAGUGAUGUCAUGUUGAUCGUAUGUUCCCUUGAUAUGAUGUGAUGAAAAUGGCACUACCUCUAUGGCCUUCCUCCCCAAACCCAUAAAACCGACUCCACACAUAAGAAAAACAUCAGGCCUAUCCAACAGAGAUAUUCUAUAAAAUACUGACCAGUACUUCUCAAAACUGUCAAGGUCAUCAAAAACAAGGUCUGAGAAACUGUCACACCCAAGAGGAGCCUAGGGAGGUGUGACAACUAAAUAUAAUAUGGUAUCCGGGAACAGAAGAAGGAUAUUAGGUGAAAACUAAGGAAAUCUGAAAAAACUGUGGACUUUAGUUACUAAUAAUAUAUCAAUAUUGGUUCAUUAAUUGUAACAAAUGUACUAUACUAACGUAAAAUAUUAAUAGGGGAAACUGAGUGUGUGGUAUAUGGGAACUCUGUACUAUUUCUGUGAUUUCUCUGUUAAUCUAAA